rnacentral:rRNA from 3 species
AAACUUUCAACAACGGAUCUCUUGGUUCUCGCAUCGAUGAAGAACGCAGCGAAAUGCGAUAAGUAGUGUGAAUUGCAGAAUUCAGUGAAUCAUCGAAUCUUUGAACGCACAUUGCGCCUCCUGGUAUUCCGGGAGGCAUGCCUGUUCGAGCGUCAU